AUUGAACGCUGGCGGCAGGCUUAACACAUGCAAGUCGAGCGAGCGGCGGACGGGUGAGUAAUGUCUGGGAAACUGCCUGAUGGAGGGGGAUAACUACUGGAAACGGUAGCUAAUACCGCAUACCAUCAGAUGUGCCCAGAUGGUAUUAGCUAGUAGGUGGGGUAACGGCCCACCAAGGCGAUGAUCGCUAGCUGGUCUGAGAGUAUGAACAGCCACAAUGGGACUGAGACACGGCCCAGACUCCUACGGGAGGCAGCAGUGGGGAAUAUUGCACAAGGGGCGCAAGCCUGAUGCAGCCAUGCCGCGUGUGUGAAGAAGGCCUUCGGGUUGUAAAGCACUUUCAGCGGGGAGGCGUUACGCGCAGAAGAAGCACAGGCUAACUCCGUGCCAGCAGCCGCGGUAAUAC
rnacentral:rRNA from 1 species